AACAUAAUGGUAUGAUCCUCUCCACUGCCUUCGGGUAUGAGAGGCGCAAUACCGACCUGUCUUAUUUGUCUUUGGCAAAUGGAUGGAGUUUGAGCGCAUUUGUUAGUACCCGAAAGAUGGUGAACUAUACUUGGGCAGGACGAAGCCAGAGGAAACUCUGGUGGAGGUCUGCAGCGGUUCUGACGUGCAAAUCGAUCGUCAGACCUGAGUAUAGGGGCGAAAGACUAAUCGAACCAUCUAGUAGCUGGUUCCCUCCGAAGUUUCCCUCAGGAUAGCAAGGGCAAUCUCGAACUUUGACACCCGGUAAAGCAAAUGAUUAGAGGCCUUGGGGUCGAAACGACCUCAACCUAUUCUCAAACUUUCAAUGGGUGCGAAGGCUUGAUUUUCUUAAUUGAAGUCUUGCCUAGUAAGAGUGCGCUUUAAGUGGGCCAAUUUUUGGUAAGCAGAACUGGCGAUGAGGGAUGAACUUAACGCAAAGUUAAGGCACCAAAUGCCGACGCUCAUGAGACCCCAUGAAAGGUGUUGGUUGCUAUAGACAGCAGGACGGUGGCCAUGGAAGUUGGAAUCCGCUAAGGAGUGUGUAACAACUCACCUGCCGAAGCAACCAGCCCUGAAAAUGGAUGAUGCUGAAGCGUGGAGCCUAUACUUUGCCGUAAGAGCUAUCUUGCUAGGAUGCUCUUACGAGUAGGAGGGACGCAGUGUUAGCGUCGAAGGGUUGGACGUAAGUCUGCCUGGAGCUUUCACUGAUGCAGAUCUUGGUGGUAGUAGCAAAUACUCAUGUGAGAUCCUUGAGGACCAAUGUGGAGAAGGGUUCCAUGUGAACAGUAGUUGUACAUGGGUUAGCCGGUCCUGAGGAAUGCGGAGAAAUCCGUAGCCAAAGUCCUUGAUGUAUUUUAUUAUGCUGAAGGGUACUGAGGUGUAUUCCGAAGGGUAAUCAGGUUAAUAUUCCUGAGCCUAGAUAGGAAAAUAGAUGUUACUUGUAACAUCAAAGGCGGUAACGCUGUCGAACUCUGGGACGUCAGCAUCAGCCCGGGGAAGAGUUGUCUUUUCUUUGUAAGGGGCCGAGUCCGUGGAAUUGGUUUAUCCAGAGAUACGGAGGAUGGCACCGAAAAGCCUUGCAGAUUUUGCCGGGUCCGGAGCACUGAUGUUGGCCCUUGAAAACCGGAGGGAGAGAUCUUAUUUUCCUACUAGACCGUACCGAUAUCCGCAGCAGGUCUCCAAGGUUAACAGCCUCUGGUCGAUAGAAUAAUGUAAGUAAGGGAAGUCGGCAAGGUCGAUUCGUAACUUCGGGAUAAGAAUUGGCUCUGAAGACUGAGCUGGUCGGGCUAUUGUUAGAGAUUGGAUUUCGCAGUGUCAGGACUGAAGGAGACUAGGAAACUGGUCGAAUUCGGACUUGGUCUGUGUGUUCUUUUCGAAGACUUUAGCUAGGACUCUAAUUCUAUUCUGGCAAUCGUGCUUGAAUGGAGUUGGAUGUUCCUUUACGGCCAGCAACAAACAGCCAGAUCAGAACCGGCACAGACCGGGGGAAUCCGACUGUCUAAUUAAAACAAAGCAUUGCGAUGGCCGCAAAGCGGUUCUGACGCAAUGUGAUUUCUGCCCAGUGCUCUGAAUGUCAACAUGAAGAAAUUCACCUAAGCGCGGGUAAACGGCGGGGGUAACUAUGACUCUCUUAAGGUAGCCAAAUGCCUCGUCAUCUAAUUAGUGACGUGCAUGAAUGGAUUAAUGAGAUUCCCUUGAUCUGUCCCUACUUACUAUCUAGCGAAACCACAGCCAAGGGAACGGGCUUGGCAAAAACAGCGGGGAAAGAAGACCCUGUUGAGUUUGACUCUAAUCUGAUAUUGUGAAGAGACAUGAGAGGCGUAGCAUAGGUGGGAGGUGAAGCUUGCUUCACCGCCAGUGAAAUACCACCACUCUCAUCGUUUCUUUACUUACUCGGUUGAGGGGAAGUUGGUUACCUUUGGUGAUCUUUCUUCUAGAUCAAACUCAGAAAGAAGGACUUAGAUUCGGAGUGACCACUUUGUGGUUGCAAUGUUUCGUUACGGGUCUUUCAAGUAUGAGUGAUCUCCUCCGAGGACAGUAUCAGGUGGGGAGUUUGACUGGGGCGGUACGUCUGUCAAACGGUAACGCAGGUGUCCUAAGGGCAGCUCAGUGAGGUCAGAAACCUCACGUAGAGCAAAAGGGCAAAAGCUGUCUUGAUCUGGACUCUCAGUGAGAGUAAAGACCGGGAAACCGCGGCCCAUCGAUCCUUUUGUUUUAACGAGCUUUUAACAAGAGGUGUCAGAAAAAUUACCACAGGGAUAACUGGCUUGUGGCAGCCAAGCGGCCAUAGCGACGUUGCUUUUUGAUCCUUCGAUGUCGGCUCUUCCUAUCAUUGCGAAGCAGAAUUCGCAAAGCGUUGGAUUGUUCACCCACUAAUAGGGAACGUGAGCUGGGUUUAGACCGUCGUGAGACAGGUUAGUUUUACCCUACUGUUAAAAUCGUUGAUCUGGAAAUCCUGCUUAGUACGAGAGGAACCGCAGGUUCGGACCAAUGGUACUUACGUCUGACCGACAGGUCAGUGCCGUGAUGCUACCAUCCGUUAGAUAAUGAC
rnacentral:rRNA from 1 species